AUGGAAAAUUCUCAUUCUUCUAAAUCCUUGCAUCUUCCAUGCAAAACCUUUUCUCUAGUUCUCCUUAUAUUUUACUUCCUCCUUUUUGGUUCUUGUACUGCAAUAAGAACUGGGACAACUAUGAAGUUGAAUGAAAGAAGAGGGUUUCAACAGGGAAAACAUACCCUACAGGGCUUUCCAUACCAAGGCUUGGUUUUCAACUUCUUCCCUAAAGGAUCAGUGCCACCAUCAGCUCCUUCAAAGAGGCAUAACCAAGUGGCGGAUUCAACAUCUCAGAAUUGA